GACGAACGCUGGCGGCGUGCUUAACACAUGCAAGUCGAACGAAGUGGCGAACGGGUGAGUAAUACGUGGGUAACCUGCCCUCCUUUUUGGGAUAAGCCUUGGAAACGGGGUCUAAUACCGAAUAAAGGGGGAUGGGCUGGCGGCCUAUCAGCUUGUUGGUGGGGUGAUGGCCUACCAAGGCGGUGACGGGUAGCCGGCCUGAGAGGGUGAACGGAAACAUUGGGACUGAGAUACGGCCCAGAGUCCUACGGGAGGCAGUAGUGGGGAAUAUGGCACAAUGGGCGAAAGCCGGAUGCCGCGACGCGGCGGGGGGGAUGAAGGCUUUCGGGUUGUAACCCUCUUUCGCUAUGGAAGGGGUAGGUGGAGAAGAAGCGCCGGCUAACUACGUGCCAGCAGCCGCGGUAAUAC
rnacentral:rRNA from 1 species